AUUGGCUCAGACAGCACAAUCUUGUUUUUGUUUUCUCUGCUCGCUUUUGCUUUUGGCACGGACCAUCACCGGAGUUUUCGCUGCGUUUACUGUGCAGUUUUCGGAGUUUCCGUGGUUUCUUCAACGGUUCUGCACGACGAUUGCAGGUCCACACAACCAAUCCGAAUGGGUGGCCGGAAGAAACCGGUGCGUUUGGCGAAAAACAUUGGAGGCGAAAUGAAUUGCAUCGUAGCCUCUAGCAGACGAAAAAAAAACCGGGAUUGUUUUGAGACAACCCUGCGAAAUAACCGGAGAGAAACGGGAUUGUUUCUGUAAACUCUCUUCCACGCAUUCUCCCUCGAUGGCUUCCCUACAUCCAGUAGCGCUGGAGCUACGAUACCAACCUUUCGUUUUACCUAUGGCUGGGGAGGAUCUUCUACAGGAGGAAACCAGUUUUAAUUUUCAUUGUUAUGUAAGUAAUCCAAACUUAAUAAAGAUAAAAUAAAUAAA